ACUCCUACGGGAGGCAGCAGUAGGGAAUCUUCCACAAUGGGCGCAAGCCUGAUGGAGCAACACCGCGUGAGUGAAGAAGGGUUUCGGCUCGUAAAGCUCUGUUGUUAAAGAAGAACACGUAUGAGAGUAACUGUUCAUACGUUGACGGUAUUUAACCAGAAAGUCACGGCUAACUACGUGCCAGCAGCCGCGGUAAUACGUAGGUGGCAAGCGUUAUCCGGAUUUAUUGGGCGUAAAGAGAGUGCAGGCGGUUUUCUAAGUCUGAUGUGAAAGCCUUCGGCUUAACCGGAUAAGUGCAUCGGAAACUGGAUAACUUGAGUGCAGAAGAGGGUAGUGGAACUCCAUGUGUAGCGGUGGAAUGCGUAGAUAUAUGGAAGAACACCAGUGGCGAAGGCGGCUACCUGGUCUGCAACCGACGCUGAGACUCGAAAGCAUGGGUAGCGAACAGGAUUAGAUACCCUGGUAGGAUAGCG
rnacentral:rRNA from 1 species